rnacentral:rRNA from 1 species
UGGGGAAUAUUGCACAAUGGGCGCAAGCCUGAUGCAGCCAUGCCGCGUGUGUGAAGAAGGCCUUCGGGUUGUAAAGCACAUUUCAGCGAGGAGGAAGGCAGUCGUGUUAAUAGCACGAUUGAUUGACGUUACUCGCAGAAGAAGCACCGGCUAACUCCGUGCCAGCAGCCGCGGUAAUACGGAGGGUGCAAGCGUUAAUCGGAAUUACUGGGCGUAAAGCGCACGCAGGCGGUUUGUUAAGUCAGAUGUGAAAUCCCCGCGCUUAACGUGGGAACUGCAUUUGAAACUGGCAAGCUAGAGUCUUGUAGAG